rnacentral:lncRNA from 1 species
CCAGGUCCAAGUUGUGGAUAUGUCAUUGGUUUGUUACCCUCUUUAUUCACUGGUCUUCUCUGUCUCAUACCACAAUGGCAAACCCAGAGAGAUGGACCGACCUAGUUGGCCUGGUGAUCAGGUUGCUACUAAUGAAGGGAUGUGUCAUUCUGCAGAGGCUGGAGAGACUUCAGGCAAACUCAACAGUCCCAAACCCUUAGAAACUUACUCUUGGAACAAACAUAUGUAGCUGAGUUCCUCUGUGUCAGGAGCUGCUAUAUAAAUGAGAGUUUUCUGAAUUACCUUCUCUGUAGAACACUAUUUAUUAAAAGAUCUGCCUGCCAAACCUGCCUUCCUCGAAAUAUCCCUUCAUGUGAAAGCAUUAUGAGAAAGGGUAAAUCUAAUUGUAUACUAUAAUAGUGGCAGUAGGUGAGUUUACGUCACACACGCUAGGAAACUGCUUUAAUCUUUCGACAUCUCUCUCUUUCCAAAUCAUGCACGCAUUCAUUCCAUCAUCAAACAUUUAUUGAAAAUCUACACACCAGACACUGUUCUAGGCCCUGGGGAUAAGAAGUAAUGAAAACAACUGUCCCCUAGGAGUCUGCACUCUAGUUGAGGGAGGUGCUGGCUAGCCUCUGUUUACCCUCCAGGUCCAUCUUUGCCCUUUUCUGUGCCCCAGGAGGCUAGCCCCGCACUCUACUGUGCCUUGUCCUCUGGGAGGGUGAUGGAAGGUAGGGAGAGUGGGAGAUCCCAGCGGGAGGUUGUAGUAUGGAAGCACUGGAGAGCUAGGCAUUUUCUCCCCGCCAACUCCUUCCAGGCUGCAGUUUUGGCAGUGGUUGUGUUCCUGCCCUCUAGCCACAGAUCCUGGGGGAUCCCCCUCUCCCAUAGCCACAGAUCUUGGCAGGUUCCUCUGACACCUCUCUUACCUCCCCACCCUUCUUGACCCUUUUUACUUAAUGAGAGGCAACCCAUGGCUGCUCAAUGCUGUCGGUUCUAUGUUGACUUAACUGUUCUUACCUCUUCUGUUACCCUUUGAGAAUGUCACUUCUUUUCUGCCAGGACCUUGACUGAUACAGAAAUACAGAAAAUAAACAAACAAAUGAGUUAUAUGUCUGAUGAGCAAAAAUGCUAUGAAGAACAUGAAGCAAGGUACAGGCAAUAAGGAGUGUGUGUGUGUGUGUGUGUGUGUGUGUGUGAGUGUGUGUGUGUUGAUGGGGUGGCAUCAAGCCCCUCUUUCUCCCAUGUCACUGAAAUUCC